rnacentral:rRNA from 1 species
GGUUAAUGCUAGCGGUGCGCCUAACACAUGCAAGUCGAGCGGUAACAUGAACUGUAGCAAUACAGUUUGAUGACGAGCGGCGGACGGGUGAGGAACACGUAGGAACCUGCGUAAGAGAGGGGGACAACCAAGGGAAACUUUGGCUAAUACCGCAUAAUCUCUGAGGAGAAAAGUUGCCCGUAAGGGUGAAGCUUUUGGAGGGGCCUGCGUCCGAUUAGUUAGUUGGUGAGGUAAUGGCUCACCAAGACGAUGAUCGGUAACUGGUCUGAGAGGACGACCAGUCACACUGGGACGGAGACACGGCCCAGACUCCUACGGGAGGCAGCAGUGGGGAAUCUUGAACAAUGGGGGCAACCCUGAUCCAGCGAUGCCGCGUGGGUGAAGAAGGCCUUCGGGUUGUAAAGCCCUUUAGGCUGGGAAGAAGAAUGUAGGCUGAAUAAUCCUAUAUUUUGACGGUACCAGCAGAAUAAGCACCGGCAAACUCUGUGCCAGCAGCCGCCGUAA